GGGUAGCCGGCCUGAGAGGGUGGACGGUCACACUGGGACUGAGACACGGCCCAGACUCCUACGGGAGGCAGCAGUGGGGAAUAUUGCACAAUGGGCGCAAGCCUGAUGCAGCGACGCCGCGUGAGGGAUGGAGGCCUUCGGGUUGUGAACCUCUUUCGCCAGUGAAGCAGGCCUGUCCCUGUGUGGGUGGGUUGACGGUAGCUGGAUAAGAAGCGCCGGCUAACUACGUGCCAGCAGCCGCGGUAAUACGUAGGGCGCGAGCGUUGUCCGGAAUUAUUGGGCGUAAAGAGCUCGUAGGCGGCUGGUCGCGUCUGUCGUGAAAUCCUCUGGCUUAACUGGGGGCUUGCGGUGGGUACGGGCCGGCUUGAGUGCGGUAGGGGAGGCUGGAACUCCUGGUGUAGCGGUGGAAUGCGCAGAUAUCAGGAAGAACACCGGUGGCGAAGGCGGGUCUCUGGGCCGUUACUGACGCUGAGGAGCGAAAGCGUGAGGAGCGAACAGGAUUAGAUACCCUGGUAGUCCACGCCGUAAACGUUGGGCACUAGGUGUGGGGGGCCUUUUC
rnacentral:rRNA from 1 species